UACGUAGGUGGCAAGCGUUGUCCGGAUUUACUGGGCGUAAAGAGCGCGCAGGCGGUCGUUCAAGUCGCGUGUGAAAGCCCCCGGCUCAACUGGGGAGGGUCACGCGAUACUGAUCGACUCGAAGGCAGGAGAGGGAAGUGGAAUUCCCGGUGUAGUGGUGAAAUGCGUAGAUAUCGGGAGGAACACCAGUGGCGAAAGCGACUUCCUGGACCAAUACUGACGCUCAUGUGCGAAAGCGUGGGGAGCAAACAGG
rnacentral:rRNA from 1 species